rnacentral:misc_RNA from 1 species
GAUGAAUAACGUAGCGAAAUGCGAUAAGUAAUGUGAAUUGCAGAAUUCAGUGAAUCAUCGAAUCUUUGAACGCACAUUGCGCCCGCCAGUAUUCUGGCGGGCAUGCCUGUUCGAGCGUCAUUACAACCCUCAGGCCCCCGGGCCUGGCGUUGGGGAUCGGCGGAGCCCCCCGUGGGCACACGCCGUCCCCCAAAUGCAGUGGCGGUCCCGCCGCAGCUUCCAUCGCGUAGUAGCUAACACCUCGCGACUGGAGAGCGGCGCGGCCACGCCGUAAAACACCCAACUCUUCUGAAGUUGACCUCGAAUCAGGUAGGAAUACCCGCUGAACUUAAGCAUAUCAAUAAGCGGAGGA